CUCUGACAGUCGACUGCUGGCGUUCGACGAGAAUCGACAACAACAACUGCAGAUUCCCGAGAAAAAUGGAUCGUUUUGUAGAAUUGUGCCAGUUCAUUUGAAAAUUGAAAUCUUAUAUGCUGAUCGGCAAAUAUUUUACAUAGUGGACUGCACAGUUUAUCUUUAUUACAGUCAUGGUUUUAUUUCACAUAAGAAAUACCUGUUUAUUAUGUAUAGUAAUUUAAUUUUUUAAACAGGUUUAAUAGCCAGGUGAAGUCUGAGCUUCUGCAGUGCCGUUUAACUUGUUCAUGGUAUUGUUGCAGCCAGCUGGUGAAUGGUGUAUUGAGCGUGCAGCCUGUGGUGUUGGUGAGCCGCUGCAUGCAGUCUGUGGUGCAUGCUGGUGUUAUCCUGAAAUGUGUUUAUCUUCUUUACCAAUACUGCAAUGCCUGUUUGUGCCCCGAAAUUCAAUCUUAAAUUGAAGAAAAAUAAUGUAGAAUGUAGCUGUUGAUUAUAUCCUACUUCAACACGGGCACUUAUCUCCUUAUCCUUCUUUGCCCCACCUGGUUAGGUUGGGAUCUUUGAAUGUUUCCAUACCAUAACCGAGAUUAUUGGCCGCGAUUGAAGUAGUCUAUGAUGUAGAUGUAGACAAUUGCAUAAUCUGUGUGGGCUCCAUCUUUUUCUGUGGGUCUGUUUCCCUAACUAACCAACGCUAGCUGGUGGUCACUCAUCCGUUGUGAUAACCAGAGGAUGAGGUAGACUGUUGUCGAACGGGGACUUAGAAAGUUCAUGACAUGGGGAAAACUUUUGGAGGGAAAUGAUUCUAACCAGGAAUCCUACUACUACUAAUCGUUCCCUGGCAAAACUGGCUUCGUACUCUCUUCUCUCAUCUUCCUUGUCCACCAGGUAAUCUCCAGGCUGGGUACAGUCAAUCAAGGCAGUGUCUCCCCCUGUCUUGAUUGGAAUUUGUCAAAGGUAGUCUAUAACAGUGACAACUAUAAUAGCUCCCUAUUAUUGUAGUAACAGUGAAAAUGAAAAUUUUU